UCUUAGUGAGCUCAACCUCAAGGUCAGAGUUCAAGUUUUCUGGAAAUCUUGUGAAUGCCAUAAUUUGAGAAUAAGGAUUCAACUAGGAGGCUAAGGGUUAUGGCUAAGAAGUACCACUGGCAACUGCCAAUUUGACCAGCUCUUACUAACUCUGCUUCACUUGCAAGUAAUUUCUCUGUUAGGAACCUUUCCACACAAAUUUGACUGUUCAAAGGCACCAAUACACUGUUUUGUGUUCUCAUCCAGCACCUGCAGUCUCUCCGCUGUGUGUGCACGAACAGGCAGUUUGGUAACUACGAAAGAGCCGUAGGGAAAAAGGAGGUCUGACAUCAGAACAUUUUUUUUAGCUGUGAAAGUCUUAUAAUUAUUAGUGCAAUAGAUAUACAAGUCCAGCCUUUAAAAGAGACCCAGCAUUUUGACUUUCUUGUGUUUUGGUGUCAUUUUGUAUUACUGUUCAUGUUUUAGGCUCAUUAUUAGUCUCAAGUUUAGUCUGUUUUGGGUUUCUUAUAUUUGUGUGUCUCUGUACUCUGUGUCCCUCUCUGUAUGUUUGUGUUUAUCCCCACGUGGAUGUCCUUGUGUCUUAUUUCCCUUUUCUGAUCCCAUGUGCCCCCUCCUCGCGUUCAUUCCAUGUCGCCCCUUUCUGUCAUGUUUAUCCAUAUUUCCCCAGCCCAUCAUGUCUCUCUCCUUCUCUCGCUCUCUCUCUCUCUCUCUGUGUCUCGUGUCCCUUAACUGUUUCUGCGUCCCACUUGUUGUCUCCUCCCGUUAUCUCCCUAGUCAAUCUUGUUUCCCUGAGUGUUCUUUCCUCCCAGCUUCCGUGUCAUCUGUCUGUUGUGCGUCAUGUUCAGUUUUGUUUCCCCCUCUCUCGUUAGUUAGAUCACAUUCAGCUGUGUUCCCUCCUGUGAUUUGUUCCCACGUUUGCCCUUGUGUGUAUUUAUGUCUGCAGUCUCCCUCACACCCAGCUGUGUGCUCUGUUAAAUGGUUUAGUUUCCUGUAUUCUUUUGUUCAGUUUUGUUUUCUACAGAAAUAACACUCUGGAGUUUGUGGCUGCCCACCACUCCGAAACAAUAAGGAUGGGUCAAAAUGAAUUUCCCUCAGAGAUACAAAUCUAAAUGACAGCAUUCAAGCACAAAGACAUCGCCCUCAAGAAUUAAACACAAAGAGGACCCAUUCGUUGCUGGUGUUUUGUAGUUCCUCAGUUGUUCCAGGAAGCCGGGGUUUGGUGAGGAGGUGGGGCGAGCUGACUUGACCAAUGAGAGGGCAGCAUCAAAAGACUGGCCAUCGCAUGACAUCA